rnacentral:sRNA from 2 species
GUCUAAACCGGAUUGCAGAGGAGAUCCUUUUUUGUAGGCUGAGUAUGGCUUGCGCGCAAAAAAGAUCGAAUCGGAAAGCCGGAAGUAAC